UGGCUACGGUAAGCGCCUUUGCAUCCUAUUGAGUGAGUCGAGGAUAAGCCUGGUCCCUGGCAGGAUGCAGGAUUCUAUCCUAAGAUACACCCCCUCUGCUUUCCCCUGUUCCAGCCCACCAGGGCCUCUCCUCCAGGCAGGAAACAUGAUCUCCUUUUGAC
ensembl:misc_RNA